AACGAACGCUGGCGGCAGGCUUAACACAUGCAAGUCGAGCGCCCCGCAAGGGGAGCGGCAGACGGGUGAGUAACGCGUGGGAAUCUACCCAUCUCUACGGAAUAACGCAUGGAAACGUGUGCUAAUACCGUAUACGUCCUUCGGGAGAAAGAUUUAUCGGAGAUGGAUGAGCCCGCGUUGGAUUAGCUAGUUGGUGGGGUAAAGGCCUACCAAGGCAACGAUCCAUAGCUGGUCUGAGAGGAUGAUCAGCCACACUGGGACUGAGACACGGCCCAGACUCCUACGGGAGGCAGCAGUGGGGAAUAUUGGACAAUGGGCGCAGGCCUGAUCCAGCCAUGCCGCGUGAGUGAUGAAGGCCCUAGGGUUGUAAAGCUCUUUCACCGGUGAAGAUAAUGACGGUAACCGGAGAAGAAGCCCCGGCUAACUUCGUGCCAGCCGCCGCGGUAAAAC
rnacentral:rRNA from 1 species